AGGAAAGUCCGGGCUCCACAGGGCAAGGAUAACGGGUAACGCCCGCCGAAGGCGACUUCAGGACAAGUGCAACAGAGAGAUACCGCCGCCGGCUUCAUCCAAGCAGGCGGUAAGGGUGGAAAGGCGAGGUAAGAGCUCACCAGCCGGCUGGAAACUGUCCGGUUAUGUAAACUCUAUCCGGAGCAACACCGUGGAGGGACAGCGCACAGAGCGCAAGGCCGGCCCGGCCGUCCCGAGGAGGUGGCUUGAGCGCGCUGGCAACAGGGCGUCGAGAUAGAUGGCUGUCAAAACAGAACCCGGCUUACAGGUCUG
rnacentral:RNase_P_RNA from 1 species